rnacentral:lncRNA from 1 species
GCUCUGCUUCCUGUUUGGGGAUCAGGAUGUGAGCUCUCAGCUGUUCCAGCAUCACACCUGCCUGCUACCAUACUUCCUGCUAUCACGAUGGAUGAUGGACUGCUAUCCCUGUGGAACUGAACUAAGGCCUUUCUGCUCCUGUGUGGGCAAUGGGAUCAGACAGGAUCAGAGUCUGGGCUUGUCUGCUCUGGUCCUGCCCUGUGGGUUCUCCACUGAAGCUGAAUGUACUGCACUGACGUCCCAGGGUGCUGGAAGAAGAGGGGUCAGUAACUUGAUGGAAGCCCAGGUCUCGGAAGGCUUGUGAAGUCCAUGAUGAUCACAGGAGGGGCAAAGAGAGAAGUUGCAGAUUUGGCUGUGGUGACCUUCCAAGGCCUGGGAGUCAGAGAGUGACUGCUUCUUCUGAAGAUGAAGGGAAGCCGUAGACUCAUUCAGAUAAGACAGGGUCUCCUCUCUCUGACCCUCGGGCCCCAGUGUGAUCUAUGCCCUCUGGAGUCAAACUCUUAAUUGACUGCUUUGUGUCCUGGGAAGGCGUUGACCUCUUUUCCCUCAGAAGGAUCUGAGCAGCUGUCUCUGAGGCAUUUUUUUCCCCUUAGCUCCUCCUCCUCCCUUGAGGAGUUAGCAUAAACAGCAUCAUCUUGGAGGCCUUCCUUGAUGACUUACUUAGAGACAGGAAUCCUGGUGAUUCCUGUUAGAGGCACCUGCUAAUUGCCAUCACUGCAUUUCCCGUAAGCGGUCCUGAUUCUCUGUGUGCUGUGUGUUUGGCUGUUUGUUUGUUUGUUUGUUUGUUUGUUUUCCCACUGGAGUGUAAAAAGUCAGGAAGUGUUCAAAAACAUUUCUUAAAUAAAGCAAUCUGGUCAACUUU